rnacentral:rRNA from 1 species
UACCUGCAGCUCGAGUGGUAACCGCUAUUAUUGGGCCUAAAGCGUCCGUAGCCGGUUUGGUAAAUAUCUGGGUAAAUCGUGAGGCUUAACUUCACGAAUUUCGGAUAGACUGCCAGACUUGGGAUCGGGGGAGGUCAGAGGUACUCCAGGGGUAGCGGUGAAAUGUUGUAAUCCUUGGAGGACCACCGGUAGCGAAGGCGUCUGACUAGAACGAGUCCGACGGUGAGGGACGAAGCCCUGGGGCGCAAACCGGAUUAGAUACCCGGGUAGUCCAGGGUGUAAACGAUGUGGGCUUUGUAUUGGAGGUCCCACGUGGGCGUCCAGUGCAGAAGAGAAGUUGUUAAGCCCACCGCCUGGGAAGUACGGUCGCAAGGCUGAAACUUAAAGGGAUUGGCGGGGGAGCACCACAAGGCGUGAAGCUUGCGGUUC